AGGUGGAAUUGAAGAUAAAAAUCAAUAAAGGAAAAAGAUAUAAAAAAAAAUGGAAAGGCCGCAAAAAAAAGGUGGGGUCAAAUGAAGGGAGCAGAAGGGAACAAGGUCCGAAAUUUGAUCCCCGUUGGAAAGACCAUCUUCUGCUCUCCAUAUCCUUCUCCUCAUCAUUACUUCUCCCACUCCCAUAUCUUUCUCAUUUUCCAUACACAUCUUGCGUAAUUUUUUACUAUAUCUUUUACAUUGUUUAUCAUAACCACAAAAAUUAUAAUGUAGAAUACUAGAAUUUGUUACUAUACAACAACUCGUUGUGUACUUUUCUGUGCAGUGUUAGAAUAUGUACAGCAAGUCAGCAACAACCCAAAUACCACUUCCAAAAGGGUAUGUGUCAUUACAU